GAAAAAUUUUUGCCAUCAGGUGCCGUUGCCGCUUUCUGCCGCAACGGAUAAACGGGAAUCAGGUAAACGGCUUUGCCGCCAAGCCUGUGCUGCCCCCGCAACGGUAAACGCUAAACGGCUCAUCACCCACGCCACUGGACCCGCGUCCGGGAAGGCGAUGAGCUUCAAGCGCGAGCCCGGAUACCGGCCUGAGCCCCGUGUGGCGG
rnacentral:ncRNA from 2 species